ensembl:snoRNA
UGGAUCGAUGAUGACCACUGGUGGCGUAUGAGUUGUGCACGAUGAAUACGUGUCUGGAACUCUGAGGUCCAA